UCAAAUCAUCAUGCCCUUUAUGUCCUGGGCGUACACACGUACUACAAUGGCCGUUACAACGGGAAGCGAAGGAGCAAUCCGGAGCAAAUCCCUUAAAGGCGGUCCCAGUUCAGAUUGUGGGCUGAAACUCGCCCACAUGAAGGCGGAAUUGCUAGUAAUUGCAGAUCAGCAUGCUGCAGUGAAUACGUUCCCGGGCCUU
rnacentral:rRNA from 1 species